rfam:Gossypium arboreum cultivar AKA8401 contig_2451_7, whole genome shotgun sequence.
GAUCCAUAGUGAGGGCACUUUCUCAAUAGAUCUUUGUAUCUUUCCCAUGCAUCAUAAAGUGUUUCUAAAUCAAACUGUAUAAAAGAAGAGAUAUCAUUCCUUAAUUU